rnacentral:rRNA from 1 species
UACGUAGGUGGCAAGCGUUGUCCGGAUUUACUGGGCGUAAAGAGCGCGCAGGCGGUCGUUCAAGUCGCGUGUGAAAGCCCCCGGCUCAACUGGGGAGGGUCACGCGAUACUGAUCGACUCGAAGGCAGGAGAGGGUAGUGGAAUUCCCGGUGUAGUGGUGAAAUGCGUAGAGUAUCGGGAGGAACACCAGUGGCGAAGGCGGCUUCCUGGCCUGUUCUUGACGCUGAGGCGCGAAAGCUAGGGGAGCAAACGGG